rnacentral:tRNA from 1 species
GCAGGGGUUCCCGAGCGGUCAAAGGGGCAGGACUUAAGAUCCUGUGGCUUAGUGCCUUCGAGAGUUCGAAUCUCUUCCCCUGCAC